rnacentral:piRNA from 1 species
UAACAUCUACACCAAGGCAUCUGAGCAU